UACAGAGGUCUCAAGCGUUGUUCGGAUUCAUUGGGCGUAAAGGGUGCGUAGGCGGCGCGGUAAGUCGGGUGUGAAAUCUCGGAGCUUAACUCCGAAACUGCAUUCGAUACUGCCGUGCUUGAGGACUGGAGAGGAGACUGGAAUUUACGGUGUAGCGGUGAAAUGCGUAGAUAAUCGUAAGGAAGACCAGUGGCGAAGGCGGGUCUCUGGACAGUUCCUGACACUGAGGCACGAAGGCCAGGGGAGGCAAACGGG
rnacentral:rRNA from 1 species